CACGUGUUCUCGAAGUCGGCGUUGAUGCAGAUCUCAUCGCCUUCACAGAAGCCCCUCCUGUCGAUCUGUGCGCUGACAGACACACGGCCGUCGGGGAUGAACAUGCAGGACACCUUCUUCUCCUUCUUAGCAGCAACGGGGGACAGCAGCUCGGGGGUGUUGACGUCCACGGGGUCCAUCACUUCAAAACGUUUCUUCACCUCCUGCGUGGGGAGGGACGGCCGCUCCAGGAGGGCCUUCACCCAAUAAUCCACGCAGCCGUAUUUCCCCUUGAAGGUGGUGCCGAGGGGGCCCUGGGGCAGCUCGAAGCCAAACUUGUACUCGUAUUUAUUGCCCGGCCGGAGGAUUACGGAGCCGUCCUCAUCCUCGGGCUGCUCCUCCAGGCUGAGCACGUCCUCGUAGCGCAGAUACUGCAUCUCCUGCCGGCACUGCUGCGGCCCUUUGGCCCAAUUGACGCGGGCCCUCCCGCACGCCUGGACCCGCACGGCGCUCACGCGGGUCACCUCGGCCACCUCGAGCAGCACGCGGCCCGCCACCUUCUCGCCGCUGCUGUACACCUUGUCGGGCUCCGUCAGCCACACCUGGAACGUCUUCACCUUCCUGAACAUCACCAUGGCUGCGGGGCUGCGGGGAUACCGCGCUGCGUUCCGACCCGGCUCUGCUCCGCGCACCGCCCGCG
rnacentral:lncRNA from 1 species